rnacentral:lncRNA from 1 species
AGUUUUUAAAAUGUAUAAAUGUCAUUCAUAUAAGAUUUAAUGCCAACAGGUAGUGUUUCACCACCUGCCCCUUCCUGCAGCCACCUCCUUUUUUAAUGAGAUCUGGGAUGUCACAGUCCAACAGGAAAGCCUCUCUGCCCAGGGCUUGGUGUGGAAUUCAUCUUGGAAGGUGUUCCAUUUCUCUGGCACUUUUGAUUAAGAGCCUCUCGGAUAGAGCAUUCCCAGCCAUACCCCACCAUGCUGGCAGUGGGCACCUGAUGAGCUGACUGCGCAUGGGGAGGGGCUUGCCCGGCUGGCUCCCCUCUCAGAACACACUGAUUGGUGUGAGCAAGCACGUUCGGCAGAAUGUGUUCCUGGGACCCUGGGAAAAGUUGACGAGACCCAUCUCUUCAAAAACUUUUUUGCCCUUCCUCACUUGGAAAAGUGGGGAGGAUCUGCUGAGUCUCAGUGCGUAUGCAAUGUAUAGUUUCUAUUAUCACAUUAAUCUCAAAGAGAUUUGAAUGACAUUAAGUGUUCACAUGAAGCAAAGGGCAGUUGGAUGUAGUGGCAUUCGGGCUGAGGCAGCACUACCGCGAGUGCAUCCCCGGUUGUCUCGCGCCGUAUUCUGAUGCAUUCGGCUAUGUUGGUUUAUGUAGUCAGUUGCAUUAAUUAAACCAACUUUAUCAUAUGCUCUUUUAAAUGUUUGUUUUAUAUUAAAAAACAAAAGUUCCUGGGUAGGCAUAUCGACUGGGAAAGCAGACUGGGACCCAACAACUACUUCUCUCCCAAGGUGAAGCUUUUCCAGGUUCUGUUGAGACACCUGUCAGCACUUUUGGAAGCUGAAAUUUACAGAAGUAAAUUCACCAAAAGGGAAAAAUCUCAGGCUAACAUAGGCAAAUGAAAAGGGCUAUUAAAAAUUUUUUAUACCUUUGAAAAUUGCAGGCUUGAUGCAAAGAGAUCUGUCAUCUUCGCCCUGGGACGUGAUAUUAUGUAGCUUGUGGCAGAGAACCCUCAGUAACAACUAUUGCAGUGAUGCUGUGUGUUAAGUACAGCACCCAAGGGCAAUUAGGUAGAAAACUAGUAUACAUUAUUUCAACUGGAAAAAGAAAAACCGAAACAGAUUCUUUUACUGGCCUUUUGCAGAAUACAGCAGACACAGGAUUGCCACCUGCAAUUGGUACUUUAUUCUUUGCUGCUGUUUUUAUAUGAAAUGACUUAUCCACAUUUUUGCAUGAAUUUAUACCAGGAAAAAAAGGGGGGAGGGGAUUUCCUAUAGAAGUCCUGUCUUAUUCUAGGUGAAGGGAAUAAAGUGUAUACUUUUGGCAGGUCAUAAACCAUAAAUGUGAUGAAAUUCCUCAUGCUCCUUGAAGAUGUCGGGGACUUCCUGGAAUCUCACCUGCAGGAUCCAGUGCCCCUGCAGCUAUGGUCUUGAGAUUCCCAUCUAGGAGAACUGCUCCCUACACCUUAUGAGGACACAGGAAGAGAUGGAAUGAACACCUUGCUCACUUGUGUGAGUCUUUCCACAAGGGUGUUGACAGAACCCAGAGAUAAUACAAACCCUCUCACUUCCUCAGAUAGGUGCAAAUGCUGUGGGUAUGGAAUUUGUGCUUGGCUAAAAGUGGUCUGUAGACUGCUAUACACACACACACACGAGGCCUUCUGAACCUCCCGUGUGUGCCUUCAUGCUCCUGAUCAGCUCAGAACUCGGGGCAGGAAUAUUCCAUUUUGGCUUCUGCUGGAGCAAUCACAGCCCCUUGCAUGCAAGCUGCGGGCAGUGGUUUCUGAGGCUCGCACUCCUCACCUAUUACGUAAGAGCUUCCUAUGGCACAGUUGUCCUCCAGGUGCUUGGGGACAGCUUUAGGUGUAACACAAUCUUGGUGAUGUGCUGGUCAUAAUUGGCUGCAUUUCGGAGGGCGUCUUAGAACCCUCAAUGCUCAGAUCUGAUGGAUGCUUCUAAUUGGCAUGAAGUUUUGAGUUUUGUGUUUUUUUCCAAAGGCUGUUUUCUUGACCCUUUUCCUUAAGAGACCACCAAAGGAUAUGUGAGGAAACUGUAGGCAGAUCUACUUUUGGCAUCCGUGAAAAUAAAUUUGGUCAUUUUUGGAUGUCAGGGAAUGGUACCUUUCCCAUCCUGGAACACAAAUAGGUCCUUUGGGCAUGUGUAAUAUUAGUGUCCUUCUUAAGUCACAAAACUAGUUUUCUUAGUUUUAAAUCUUAUAUGAAUGACAUUUAUACAUUUUAAAAACUUUUUUAAAAGGACAGCUGAAAGAGGCAAGAGGAAAACCAGGGCAGUUUCAGAGGCAUGGGAAGGGCUGCCGGACAGCAGUUUUAAGUGUAGUUUGCUCAGGCAACAUGACCUCAUGUGCUGUCCCCCAGCUGCAUCCGGUGUCUGCAGCACUCCCGAGGAGCCAGCUUUUAGCACCUUUCCUUCCCCACCACUCUCUGCUUCCUCACUUAAUUCAGUAACAGACCCUCCAGUGCACACGCAGGUAGCUGCCCCAGCCGGUUUGGACUACAGGCCUGUGCUGGGGCAUCAUCUCAGCUGGCCACUUUCUUGGCAGGCUUUGGAGGACCUGACACCUAUGACUAGCCUGGAGUCAGGAGCAGGGACUCUGACUCUUGGGAAGAAAACACAUGAGGGCAAUGCUGCUGGCAGACUUUCCCAUUGUCCUGAUGUGGUCUGUUUUUUUUUUUUUUUUAAUUGACCGUAGUUAUUUUUUAAAUUGUUAAUGUAUUGAAAUGAGCUGUAGCACAUAUUGUGUGCUUAGUCUGUUUUUCUCCAUCUCCCUUUGGCUUCCUAGAGUCUGGACCUAGUCCAGGGCUGAAUGCCUUUACUCAAACCACAGGAAGGUUUUCUUUUAAGUAGUGUGUGCAUGUUGUGCAUGGACAUAAGUUGUCCAGGGAGCUGUCAUUCUUAGCCCCACCUGCCAUUUCUGAGGCUUCAUGAUUGUGCCCUCUAGUCUUCAAAAGGAGAGGCUGGGAAAGGACUCUGCAGGCUGCUCGCAGGACUGUUUACCUAGGGGGCCACUAGUAGCCAGAGAUGGCACAAGCUUGGCUCCGGACGCUGUUUCUUACAGUGUGCUUUAAGUGGCUAGAGUUGGGUGUUUUCUCAGAAUGUACAUGUGUCUCAUUUUUAGUAGAAGAAAACCUUAGCACAGCUAGGUUGUGCCAUUUUUCUUUUUGUGGCAUCAACGCUCCCCCGUAGGACCCCUUCAAGUAACAGUCUUCACAUUGUCCAUCCCCCUCUUAAGGAGCAUCGGCCACUUCCUGGAGUGGAUGGAAUGCAGGAAACAUACUCAAGAGAAUGUGGGUCACCAUGAUGAUGUAGCACCCCUGAUGGGAGGUGUCAGUCAGCGGGGAUGACUUGGUACACAGGCACCUCUUCAGAAACACAGCUGUCAUGUAAAAGAAACUCACCUCUUGGGCAAACUGGAGUGAGAAAUUCUCAGUGAUUCUGUAAUUGAUUUUUGUUUUUUUAAUGCAGAAAUAAUGGAUACUCUAGCAUUCUGGUGUUUUUAUAUUUAUGUAAUAAUUUCUUAAAACCAUUCAGACAGAUAACUAUUUAAUUUUUUAAGACAGUUGCGAAGGCCUCUCCCUUCUGAGGUCAGUGGCUGGAAGAGUUGGGUACAGCCAGUUCUGAAUGUUGGUGCCUUGAGGAGUGUAGUGGCUUUUUUGGCUCAGCAUCUAGAACUCCAAGCGAGGCUGGCUGCACAAGUGACAGUGUGUAAAAUCAGGCAGCUCUGAGUCAAAUCUAGGCCCUCCACAGGGAUCCUGGGGUGAAGACGCUACCCAGAGAGGGAGCCACUUUUAUCCAGGAGGCCUGCACUGCUGCCACUGCCAACAGGCUGUUCUGGACUCCUGUGUUGGCAUGUGUCUGGGUGAAGACUAGAAUGUGGAGGAUGUUGAUUACCUUCACUAUUCAGCCAGCCUGACCUUUUAAUAUCUUUGUAAAAAGCAUGUACCUAUUUAUAGUGUUUUAGAUUUUUCUAAGUUUUGUAUCUUAAAAGCAGAGCACCUGUUCUAAGCAUUGUACCCCUAUUGUUAAAGAUCCGUGUCCAUUCCCCUUCCCUUCCUCUUGUAAGUGCCCUUCUAAUAAACUUUUCAUUGAAAAGCUCCUAGGCCAGGAGCUCAGUCUGA